UUAAUGAAAUAAUAUUAAGUAAUUUCCUGCUCAAUGAUAAUUAAAUAGCCGCAGUUAACACUGUGCUAAGGUAGCAUAAUCAUUAGCCUUAUAAUUUAAGGAUAGAAUGAAUGGAAUAACGUGUGGAAUACUGUCUUUAUAGUAAAUUCUUAAUUUCAUAUUUAAGUAAAAAAGCUUAAUAAAAAAAAAAGACGACAAGACCCUAUCGAACUUUACUAAAGUUAACUGGGGAGGUAAAUUAAUAAAAACUUAUUUUUAAUAAAUUAAUAAUUAGACCUUUUAUUUAAAAAUUACAAGAACAAGUUACCGUAGGGAUAACAGCAUAAUUUUAUUUAAGAGUUCUUAUCUAAAAUAAAGAUUGUGACCUCGAUGUUGAAUAAUUACCUAAAAUUAGAAAAAUAAUUUUAAGGAAGAACUGUUCGUCUUUUAAAUAAUUACA
rnacentral:rRNA from 1 species